GACGAACGCUGGCGGCGUGCUUAACACAUGCAAGUCGAACGGUGAAGGGACCGGUUUUUGCUGGUUCUGGAUGAGUGGCGAACGGGUGAGUAACACGUGAGUAACCUGCCCCCUUCUUCUGGAUAACCGCAUGAAAGUGUGGCUAAUACGGGAUAUUCUGCGCCUGCUGCAUGGUGGGUGUGGGAAAGAUAUUGUUUCGGUGGGGGAUGGGCUCGCGGCCUAUCAGCUUGUUGGUGGGGUGAUGGCCUACCAAGGCGGUGACGGGUAGCCGGCCUGAGAGGGUGGACGGUCACACUGGGACUGAGACACGGCCCAGACUCCGACGGGAGGCAGCAGUGGGGAAUAUUGCACAGUGGGCGCAAGCAUGAUGCAGCGACGCCGCGUGAGGGAUGGAGGCCUGCGGGUUGUAAACCUCUUUCGCCAGUGAAGCAGGCCUGUCCCUUUUGUGGGUGGGUUGACGGUAGCUGGAUAAGAAGCGCCGGCUAACUACGUG
rnacentral:rRNA from 1 species